GUAUGUUUAUUUUAGGUAUAUAGUAACUAAGGAAGGGUUCAAUAUACAGAUAAAAUUUCUUGGAACACUCCAGCUUUUAAGUAUUAAUGAGAAAUUUUCUACAAGCAAGGGACAAAUUGAGGAGCUGGAAGCUAAAUGAAUUAGUCAAACUAAAUUUUAAUAGAGGUUAUCUUUUGGACUCACUUACAUGUCUUUGUUAUACUGCAGGCCCUGAUUUGUUUUACUUAUUUAAACACAGUCACUAUGUUUAACAUGUAUCCUCUGGCCUGUACCACCUGAUAGGACUGUUCCAUGCCACCCAAUGGGACAGUUGUGCAUGUGCUACUGGUGCUUCAGAGCCAGUCAGCAGCGAUACAUAUGAAUUAUGGCCCCGUCAUGAACUUGUCAAGCUCCAAAGAGCAUAAGCCAAGGGCUGUAAUACCUACUAUUUUGUAGAUGAUUCUUAUUGACUUAAAAUGUCACAUCUCAGGCUGGCAACGUAACUCAGUGGCAAAGCUCUUGCCUAGUAUGCUUGAGGCCCUAGGUUCAGUCCCCAGUACUGUAAAACAAAACAGAAUAAAUCUCCUACCUCUAUUAACCUUAUGAAAAUAUAUUCUUCUGGGCCACAGAUUCACCAGGAAAUCCGAACACAAGGAAAUGGGUUACAUUAGAAAAUUAUGUUGGUGAUAAGGUUGAAGUUAGGAGUUCCUAACUACACAAUGAAAGAAUGUUUUAUAUCAAUGGAAAUCCCGGUCAGAUUGUCAGGCUGUUUGUUGCAUCAUGGACACUACUAGGUGAUUAUGAGCUCAUGGGUGAGAAAAAGAAGUUUGUAGCCAACUGGCCCUGAGCUACUGGACAACUGUAAGGCUUGGAUUGCUUUCUGGCUCUGUCUGCCUGCCUGCCUGUCUGUCUCUGGGAGUGUAACUAAGGGCCUCACACAUGCUAGCAAACACAUUGUCACUGAGCCACAUCUUCCAGGCCUAUAUUUCCAUCUCUGAGCGAGCAAAAUAGGUAAUAAUACCCCAACACUAGCUCUUCUAACACCAGAAUGCUGCCCUUUUCCAGGGCGAGAGCUACAUGCCCCAAGAUGCGAAGGACUCCAAGUACCUGUGGUGAUCUAGCCCUUAAUCUUUCUAACCUCAAUCCUUCCUAGGUCUCAUUGCUUGGGGACAAGAAAGUUCCAUGGCUAUCUGUAGGUGGUAUGGGGCUAAAACUGGUAGAGGCAGUCAGAUCAAAGCAUUCCCUUCCAGCUCCUAUAUUAUGUAAGAUUUUGGCUGGUUGUCUUCUGUUUCAUUUAAACAGAACAUUGGGAGGCUCAAGUGGCACACUGAAGUGUACUUUGUAAUCUGCUCAAGGGAGGUCAGAAAACAGCUUCCAUUGAACAAGCACAAUGUAAACAAAGCAGUUGCCAAAGUUGUGCCAGGGGUAGGUUUCCUUCCUUGAAGGAAACAAACUGCCCUACACCAGCCAUACUUAACUAGGAAAUGAAAUCUUGCAAUGCUUGUCAAUUUGGUUUGGGGUUCUGGAUCUUAAAGAGGGAACAGAGGUCAACAAUAAUAUUUUAAAUGUCACUUGAAUACAUAUUGAUGUACACGCUAACUGAUUAUACAUCAAUAAUUUUCUGUAAAAGAUGAAAUGGGAAUUGAUCAUAAUGAAAACUAUCUUGUAGCUUACAGGGUGUUUCACUGCUUGCAGUCAUUGAAAAGAAGAAAACUGCCACAUACAACCUACCUGGGGUGUGCGUUUGUAUGGGUGUGUGUGCGUGUGUUUGGGUGUGUGUGUUAAGUAGGGAUUCACUUAAAAAGCAAACAAUCUUUGCUAGUGGUCUUGCUAAAAAAAGUACUUCUACUAUUGUUCAGUGUUGUUACCUAACGGUGACCUGUUACCUGCUACCAAUUUUCUCUUCUGGUAAGAUGUAGCUAACUAGAAAGCCUGUACAAUAGCAAAUGCUUUAUAUAAAUCUUAGAGCAAAAAGAAAAAUCUUUCCUUUUCAAAGCCUUAGGAAUAACUUUCUCUUACUGACUUUUCCACUAUUUAUCACAGUCUUCUUACAUUAAAAAAAAAAAGCUCCAAAGAUUGCUUUCAUGGACUAUGUACAUAAGUGCAAAAAAGGUGUGUCUCACACAUUCGCACCCUAACUGAGACAAUCAGGUAACUGCAGCAUAUGUCUCUUAAACACUGUUCGGGGGUCAUUCCACAGUAUCUUUAUAUAUGGUUUUGCAAAUAUGAAUUAAUUUCAAAAUGUGUUUAAUCAUGUUUUGAUCCUCAUGCAUACUUGCAUACAUAAUUUCAUAAAAAUUUUUUUGCAGCUACAGAUAUGUCAUAUAAACCAAAGUUAUGAAAAGGUCAAGUGAUUAUAUAUAUUGUGUUUUGAAGUCAAAAUACUGUGGAAUAACCCUAUCCACACAACAAAAUCUAUAAACUAUAAAGCCAGCCUCAAGAAUCCACGUGUUGUAAACUUUUUGACCAAAAAGUCACAGGACACAAAUUCAGCUUUCACAUGUGACUUAGGGAUUAAAAUAUUCAACCAUAUCUGUUUUCUGAGUUUUGAGCUGUAUCAUCUACAUGCUCGUACUGUCACAAACCACGGAUAGUUUACAAAUAAAAGUUACACACACACACACACACACACAAAUGUCUAAAGGUAGCCAUGUUGUAGUUUUGUUGCCAAAGCAACAACUAAAUAUAGUUAACAAUUAUUAUUUUUGUAUAAAGUUAAAUUUGUUCUUAAACUGUGAACUUAGAGAGUAGUUAUGGACUGUCAUCUAUAUCUGCCAUGCUUUAGUGUCGGUUUGGAACCUAUCUAGCUAGGCUGAAUAUAUGUAGUAAAAUAAAACUUAAAAACUUUCUCUAACUCUCCUUCAAAAUUAAAUUCUUAAAUUUAUUAGUUACUUAGAGAUAUAAAAAGUCAUAAAAUAAAAACCUUAAAAGCUAAGAAUAAGAAAAAUGAAAAGAUGGCAUCAAUCAGUGAGUUGGUGCUCAGACUCUAGAUUUGGUUAUAUUUAUAAUUUGAUUAGGCUAGCAACUUAAUUGACACAAAUUUUUGGUAUGCUCUUUUACAUGCUGAUUAUUCUAUUGCCCUCAGCAGACACUGAUAAAAUUAGGCCACUAUCUCUAUUCUUAAUCAGAAUUUGAGAAAAAUAUUUCCCCCACAAAUUUUCUUUAUUUCUAUUUCAAUGUAUGUAAAAUGUAUAAGAGAUAAGAAUGAGUACUUCAGUUUCUAAUCAUUCUGUGCACGAUUGCCCACCCUACAGACUAAAAGAACUCAGAAAACAUUUGGCUAUGCUUUACCUAAGCGCACCCUCACUGACUCCAAAAAGGGAGAAAAAGAACCAAAUAACAUUCCAAGAAGCCCCGAGCCUUCCCUCUUCUCGCGAAAAAAUGUAACAUAAAUGUUGUUCCCUAUUAGACAUCACUAUGAUUACUGGUCAGGCCAUUACAAACUGAUUCAAGGUGUAAUUUCAUUUGGUACCUGCUGAUGGCAGGGACAAGGUGCUGGCAUCUUCCCAAAUUGGAGAGCAGGUGCGCUGAGGCUUUCCACUACUGAACACAGCCUUGCACUGUAGGACAACACUCAAGGCCACAGCAAAAUGCUUUUAGCAUGAUCAGAAACUGAUGGAGAUGACUUGAUGGAAUAGGGAGAAGAUGGCUUUUAUGAUUAGCUACAAAUUAAAGUCUAAUCUAGAAAAGUGAAAUGAAAUGCAACAGCUGGUUGUGGAAUCAUGCUCCAAUUGCAAAAGUAAAUACUGUAUUUAAAUAGCAAUUUUUAUGAAUCCA
ensembl:lncRNA